UACGAAGAAAACUAGCAUUGUUCGGAAUUACUGGGCGUAAAGCGCACGUAGGCGGAUAUUUAAGUCGGGAGUGAAAUCCCGGGGCUCAACCCCGGAACUGCCUUCGAUACUGGGUAUCUUGAGUUCGGAAGAGGUGGGUGGAACUGCGAGUGUAGAGGUGAAAUUCGUAGAUAUUCGCAGGAACACCAGUGGCGAAGGCGGCUCACUGGUCCGAUACUGACGCUGAGGUGCGAAAGCGUGGGGAGCAAACAGG
rnacentral:rRNA from 1 species